CCGCGCUAAGCGGGGAGCUGGCGAUGCCCUGUACCUGCGAUCGCCUAGCAGGGCUGAAUCCCCCGCCCGAGGCGGUCUGCGUUCGGUGGAAGCCGGUGCGGAAGCGUUGAUGGUCUGGUCCCGGGCAAUCCGGCCCCGUGAAUCGUGUCAGAACCGAGAGGUGGCAGCACUAAGCGGGUAACUGGAUGUGCUUUCGGGGUAGCCGAACCGGAGCCGAAACGCCGGAAGUUCGCCGGGGGCGGUUCCGUCGAAGGCGGGGUGCGCGG
rnacentral:SRP_RNA from 1 species